rnacentral:sRNA from 1 species
UUAGAUGCCGUUCAUGCUUGCAUGAUAAGGCAUAUGAACCGAAAAAGCGCCCAAACAUGAGGAAAAAGCGAUUUGCGAAGCAAAUCAGCGGAAUCCGAAUGUUUGUAGAAUUGCGAAAGCUGCAAAGCAGGGGAGCAAUUCGUGGGUA